rnacentral:rRNA from 1 species
CCUACGGGCGGCAGCAGUAGGGAAUAUUGCUCAAUGGGGGAAACCCUGAAGCAGCAACGCCGCGUGGAGGAUGAAGGUUUUCGGAUUGUAAACUCCUUUUGUUAGAGAAGAUAAUGACGGUAUCUAACGAAUAAGCACCGGCUAACUCCGUGCCAGCAGCCGCGGGAAUACGGAGGGUGCAAGCGUUACUCGGAACCACUGGGCGUAAAGAGCGCGUAGGGGGGAUAGCAAGUCAGAUGUGAAAUCCUAUGGCUUAACCAUAGAACUGCAUUUGAAACUGUUAUUCUAGAGUAUGGGAGAGUUAGGUGGAAUUCUUGGUGUAGGGGUAACAUCCGUAGAGAUCAAGAGGAAUACUCAGUGCGAAGGCGACCUGCUAGAACAUAACUGACGCUGAUGCGCGAAAGCGUGGGGAGCAAACAGGAUUAGAUACCCGAGUAGUC